AAGUCUGAAGUAAUCAUUACAUUUAGUUUCGGCCUAAAAAUAGACAUAAAUUUGUCCUGACUUU
rnacentral:tRNA from 1 species